rnacentral:rRNA from 1 species
AGCCGCGGUAACACCGGCGGCCCGAGUGGUGAUCGUGAUUAUCGGGUCUAAAGGGUCCGUAGCCGGUUGGUCAGUCCUCCGGGAAAUCUGAUAGCUCAACUAUUAGGCUUUCGGGGGAUACUGCCAGACUUGGAACCGGGAGAGGUAAGAGGUACUACAGGGGUAGGAGUGAAAUCUUGUAAUCCCUGUGGGACCACCUGUGGCGAAGGCGUCUUACCAGAACGGGUUCGACGGUGAGGGACGAAAGCUGGGGGCACGAACCGGAUUAGAUACCCGGGUAGUCCCAGCCGUAAACGAUGCUCGCUAGGUGUCAGGCAUGGCGCGACCGUGUCUGGUGCCGCAGGGAAGCCGUGAAGCGAGCCACCUGGGAAGUACGGCCGCAAGGCUGAAACUUAAAGGAAUUGGCGGGGGAGCACAACAACGGGUGGAAGCCUGCGGUUUAAUUGGACUCAACGCCGGACAACUCACCGGGGGCGACAGCAAUAUGUAGGCCAAGCUGAAGACUUUGCCUGAAUCGCUGAGGGGAGGUGCAUGG